rnacentral:lncRNA from 1 species
CCCACCUCCAUGGUAACCCUGACCCCACUUUGGGGACCUGCCCCACAUCGAUGGUAACCCCAACCCCAUUUUGGGGUGCAGGCUCAUCUCCCUAGUAACCCACAACCCCAUUUUGGGGCACAGCCCCACCUCUACACCAACCCUGACCCCAUUUUGGGGUACAGCCCCAUCUCCCUAGUAACCCUGACCCCAUUUUGGGGUGAUGUCCUGUCUCCAUAGUAACCCACGACCCCAUUUUGGGGUACAGCCCAACCUCUACACCGACACCAACCCCAUUUUGGGGUGCUGCCCCACCUCUAUACCAACCCUGUCCCCAUUUUGGGGUGCAGAGCCAGCUCCCUAGUAACCCACGACCCCAUUUGGGGUACAGCCCCACCUCUACACUAACCCCAACCCCAUUUUGGGGUGCUGCCUUAUCUCUAUAGCACCCCCGACCCCAUUUUGGGGUGCUGCCCCACCUGCCCCCCCCCCCCCACCCCCCCCCCCCCCCCCUGGGGGGGGGGGGGGGGCCUCCCUCACUCCCCCGUUAUCCCCAAUCCCCCCAAUUUUUUGGGGGGGCUCCUCCCGUUUCCACGGCAACCGCUCCCCCCGUUGGGUGCCGGUAAGGGCGGCGUGUAGGGAAAGAGGGGGGCCCGUCUCCAUGGCAACCCCGGUGCCGCCGGGCGGGAGGGGCCGGGCGCGGCGGGGAGGCGGCGGCGGGAGGCCCAGGCCCGGCCCCGGUGCUGGCGCCGGGCCCGGCCCCGUUCGGCCCCGUUCCGGCCCCGUUCCGGCCCCUCCGGGCCGCGAUGUCGGACCCCAGCUGCUGGGGGGCCGCUCCCGCCGGUUACCGGGGGCAGCGGGCGGCCGGGGCCCUGCUGCAGCGCUCCAAGAGGUGCGGGGCCUGCGCCCGGGGGGGGGGGGGGGG